rnacentral:rRNA from 1 species
UAUAUCAACUGGCUACUGUG